rnacentral:rRNA from 1 species
GGAAUAUUGGUCAAUGGGCGAGAGCCUGAACCAGCCAAGUAGCGUGCAGGAUGACGGCCCUAUGGGUUGUAAACUGCUUUUAUAAGGGAAUAAAGUGAGCCUCGUGAGGCUUUUUGCAUGUACCUUAUGAAUAAGGACCGGCUAAUUCCGUGCCAGCAGCCGCGGUAAUACGGAAGGUCCGGGCGUUAUCCGGAUUUAUUGGGUUUAA